UCGGUCCCUUUUAUUGGCCACAAGAUCUGGACUACAGCGCCAUCUCUUGACCAUUUCAGAACACAACACACUGAACGCCCGAUGAUCGCCUGGAGCUCGCUCUCCGAAAGCGUCUGAGCAAAUGUUCAAAUCUUUAUUAAGCGAGCGCAUAUUUGAACUAAAAACAGAUACAUUCUCGCAUGAACAACUCUUAAAGCUACAUUUCAAGACCAAAUAACAGUAUUGUGUGCCUUUUACUGCGCUACGCAUGAAACACAGCUGUCAUAUAUGGACUAGAUUUGUCUUAAUUACUUCAGCAGACAUUCCCCGCUUCCUUAAUUGAAUGUUUUUCAAAUAUAUUUAUGCUAACUUAAAAUAAGACGUCUUCGUCUCAGUAUCGCUGCGGAGAUGGGCACUAGAUGGCGCCAUUGGUCAUACAACUUUGUCUACUAAACUCAUUUCAGACAUUUAAGCAUCCGCCUUCAGAUCAGAAGUUUUUUGAAAUAAUGAGAAACGUUUCACUCAAGUGUCCAAACACUUUUGACCGGUGCUAUUCUUAUUAGGCUUGUUCGAGUUGACCCACACUAGCCUGCCACCGACUGGCGAGAUCAGCCGAUUGCUGGCGAGACAAGAGCCGUCACAUCGGACACUUCCUGCUUCCCAUAGGGAGCUGAACCUACAGCAGACCACGUGAUAUUCAUCGGCGCUCGCUCUCCAUUGUGAGGCUGGGGACGGGAGCCAAUCGCGUCGCGGAAUGAGAAUGGACACGGCCACUCAGCGCGAUCACACCCUUUGAGAGAUUGGAUGACGAGCGCAGGUAGCGGAUAAAUCAGCAAACAGCCUGCCCCUGCCGCUCAGUCUCCUGCUGAACCUCCACAGUCUGGGUCUUCAGAAACGGCUCCUGCCCCACGAUCAUUCCUGAGGCCUCCUCCAAGUUUGUCAAUGUCACACUUUGGCGGCUCCCAGUUGGCUUCACUGAAGCCCAAUUUAGUAGAUCGGAAGCCCUCUCCUUCUUCAUCCUCUUUGAGGCUCCCCACCCCAUCUCCUUCAUCUGUGAGGACCGCCACCCUCUCUCCAUCCUCUUUGAGGAGCCACAGUCCUGGUUCAUCCUCUCUAGGUUUGGGAAGUGGCCAGACCUCCUCAUACGGCUGGACAUCUGGCACUUUAUAAGGAGGUGGGCUGCACCACCGACACCCAUCCCGUCAACCCCACCUUCAUGGAAAUACUGUCCGCCUUCAUCUUUGAUGGGGAUGGAGGAGACCUCAGCCUGUUGUGGCAGGCAAAAAGACGACAACUGAUGCAGGAGGGUGUGCCAGCUAUCACUGACCUCCUGGUGGACAGGAGCAUCGGUAAGAAAGAGCUCAGCCUUUACUGCUGCAGGAGGACACGCAAUGAGGAGGCCACAAUACACCCCAUCGAGAAGCUGCUGCAGGAGCUGGGUGGGCAAACGGGAGAGACCUUAUGGGUGUGCCACUGCUGGAUGAGGUGCACAUGGAGCACAUCUGGCGUGUGCAGAAACGGCAUGUCAGGUGCAUUCAGGACAUUCCAGGAAUGCCGCUCUACACUAAAGUCGGCACCACCUCAAAGGCGGGGAUCAUCCUGACCUGGUAUCGCUGAGGGUCCGCAUCCCUGGAGUCUUUCCACUACCACUUGAACAGGUUCAUUCCAGGAACUAGUGCAAAUGCUCUGAAUUUCUAGCUCUACCUCCUGGAAGGCUUGAACAGGUGGAAUCAGGAUCGGGCGAGUGACCAGCAAGCCAGAGUCCCUUCUCACUGGGGAUAUGGACGUGUUUACAAUUAUUUCUGACCGGACAGCCCCUCGUGGUGGAUCCCGACUCGGAGAAGACCGAGAACAUGCUUGAGGAUGUGGAUGAAGGAAGGUACGAAGAAGACGAGGGCUUCGAUGAAGACCAAACCUUGGAUGUUACUCUAUCGAGUCUCUCAGAUGAACCAAGCUUCUCUGUUUCCUCCUGCUUUCUGUCCUCCUCUGAGUCUCUCUCCUCCCUAGCUGCUGCCUCCACCACAUUGGCUGUUGACUCCAUGCCACAGUCAUGCACCUCGGCGUCUACUUAUGAGUCUGUGGCUGUGGAUAACUCUGGUGAAAAAAUGCUCUCAGAGCAGAGUAUCUUGUGAAGCGUAGGAACCAGCUCUCUCUGGUCCUCACACAGCAGCAGAACCGUCGGCCAGGCACAAUUGAAGAGGAAGAUAAGAGGAUUGUAUACUGCCCCUCUGUAGAGGCUGUACCAAAGGAGCAGUGGUUGGAGGAAAUAAAAAACUGCCUGUUUCUGUUACCGACGUUCUUCAAAACAUCUUUUGUCUUCUGAAGAAGAAAGAAAGUCAUACAGGUUUGAAUACAUCAACAUCAUUUUGGGGUGAACUAUUCCUUUAAUAACAACUUAAAGAAAGAGGAUUAUUCAUCUAUAACAGUUUUAUUCAUGUAUGUUUUUGUCACGGGGUGACAAAUAACCCCCAGAACUAUUCGCCAGAGAAGUGUUUCCGCGGGGAUACUCCCAGUGUAACACUGUCCCCGGGCCUGUGUGUGUGUCUGUCGCCAUGGCAACUAACCGGCAGAUUGGCAACAGGUGUGGGGACUUCACUCUGAGUGCCUGAUUGAGGCCACGCCAGCAUUCUUGAGAGGAUAAAACACAAGGUAUUACAGCUGAAGAGUUAUCGUGAAGGAAGAAGAGUGUGGCUUGUGGGACCCAAGGGCAGUGAAAGAGAGUGGAAUUCGUCGCCUGGACUGGGAGAGAGUGAAGGAUUAUCAGGGAAAAUUCAAGGAAUAUCGUCAGCAGUGGGAAAGACGCCAGUGAUGAGUAUUUGAUCCGUUGUUUAUAUGCACUAAACACUGAAGUGGUAUUGAGAGUUCGGAUAGUGUGUGGCACGAGUGAAUUAGUACACCGAGUGGAUUGUUGAUCUGACUCUAACUUCUGUCCUCCCUUUGCUGAAUGUGACGAUAUCUGCACCCGCUUUUCUCUGGAGAGAAAUUGAACCCUUGCACGGACGAGAUUUGAUAUUGUGGGAGAAGGACCGGAGGGGUGAGUGCUGGCCCGAAUGCACGGUGUGCGAGUGAGAUGCUGUGCCUGAAGUGACGAUUCACACGGUUUGUGUUAUGGAGUGAGGUUUAUUGUGUGGAGAAGUAAUAGUAGUCUGCUGUGCACUCUCCUCCCAGUCUUUCAUCCGCUGUCUCCAGGGAAGGGCUUUUUGAUACCACAAAGCGCCCGAUUUAUUACUUCAAGGCAACCCGGCUCUGUCAAUUCUGAAGGUUUUACAUGCUGUUGAACAGUUAAACCCGGCUGUAUCGUUCCAGUGAAUAGCUGAAGUGGAGUGUUCCGCUCAAAGUGUCCUCUCCGCCUGGUGGUCUCCACAUGUCCCCGCCGAAAGCCUCUGUCCUGGUCAGAAAGGAAGAAGCGAAAGCCUGCUCAGCUUGUGAC